AGCGAACGCUGGCGGCAGGCUUAACACAUGCAAGUCGAACGGUCCUUCGGGAUAGUGGCGGACGGGUGAGUAACACGUGGGAACGUACCCUUAGGUUCGGAACAACACAGGGAAACUUGUGCUAAUAACGGAUAAGCCCUUCGGGUGACAGAUUUAUCGCCUUUGGAGCGGCCGGCGUCUGAUUAGCUGGUUGGUGAGGUAAUGGCUCACCAAGGCUACGAUCAGUAGCUGGUCUGAGGGGAUGGCCAGCCACACUGGGACUGAGACACGGCCGAGACUCCUACGGGAGGCAGCAGUGGGGAAUCUUGCGCAAUGGGCGAAAGCCUGACGCAGCCAUGCCGCGUGGAUGAUGAAGGUCUUAGGAUUGUAAAAUCCUUUCACCGGGGACGAUAAUGACGGUACCCGGAGAAGAAGCCCCGGCUAACUUCGUGCCAGCCGCCGCCGUAA
rnacentral:rRNA from 1 species